ACUUUUAUAGUGUAUAAUAGCAUUAGAAAUUUUCAAAUUCUAGGAAUAAUAAAUUAUAAAAAUUAUUAAGAGUA
rnacentral:tRNA from 1 species